CGAGUGCUCCAAGCGUUAUCCGGAAUCAUUGGGCGUAAAGGGUGUGUAGGUGGUCGGGUUAGUCUCCUGUUAAAUUCUUCGGCUCAACCGGGGGCAUGCAGGGGAAACGGCACGACUAGAGGAUGCGAGAGGUGAAUGGAACUCAUGGAGUAGGGGUGAGAUCCGUUGAUAUCAUGGGGAACACCAAAAGCGAAGGCAGUUCACUGGCGCACUCCUGACACUGAGACACGAAAGCGUAGGUAGCGAAUGGGAUUAGAUACCCCAGUAGUCUACGCCCUAAACGAUGAUCGCUGGUUUUUCGGAGUAUCGACCCUCUGAGAGACGAAGCUAACGCGUUAAGCGAUCCGCCUGGGUAGUACGGCCGCAAGGCUA
rnacentral:rRNA from 1 species